rnacentral:rRNA from 1 species
GACGAACGCUGGCGGCGUGCCUAAUACAUGCAAGUUGAGCGCUGAAGGUUGGUACUUGUACCGACUUGAUGAGCAGCGCACGGGUGAGUAACGCGUGGGGAAUCUGCCUUUCAGCGGGGGACAACCUUUGGAAACGAAUGCUAAUACCGCAUAAAAACUUUAAACACAAGUUUUAAGUUUGAAAGAUGCAAUUGCAUCACUCAAAGAUGAUCCCGCGUUGUAUUAGUAAGUUGGUGAGGUAAAGGCUCACCAAGGCGAUGAUACAUAGCCGACCUGAGAGGGUGGUCGGCCACAUUGGGACUGAGACACGGCCCAAACGCCUACGGGAGGCAGCAGUAGGGAAUCUUCGGCAAUGGACGAAAGUCUGACCGAGCAACGCCGCGGGAGUGAAGAAGGUUGUCGGAUCGUAAAACUCGGUUGGUAGAGAAGAACGUUGGUGAGAGUGGAAAGCUCAGCAAGUGACGGUAACUACCCAGAAAGGGACGGCUAACUACGUG